rnacentral:rRNA from 1 species
AUUGAACGCUGGCGGCAUGCCUUACACAUGCAAGUCGAACGGCAGCACGGGAGCAAUCCUGGUGGCGAGUGGCGAACGGGUGAGUAAUAUAUCGGAACGUGCCCAAUCGUGGGGGAUAACGUAGCGAAAGCUACGCUAAUACCGCAUACGAUCUACGGAUGAAAGCGGGGGAUCGCAAGACCUCGCGCGAUUGGAGCGGCCGAUAUCAGAUUAGCUAGUUGGUGGGGUAAAGGCCCACCAAGGCGACGAUCUGUAGCUGGUCUGAGAGGACGACCAGACACACUGGAACUGAGACACGGUCCAGACUCCUACGGGAGGCGGCAGUGGGGGAUUUUGGACAAUGGGCGCAAGCCUGAUCCAGCAAUGCCGCGUGCAGGAUGAAGGCCUUCGGGUUGUAAACUGCUUUUGUACGGAGCGAAACGGUUUCCACUAAUACUGGGGGCUAAUGACGGUACCGUAAGAAUAAGCACCGGCUAACUACGUGCCAGCCGCCGCCGUAA